rnacentral:rRNA from 1 species
UACGUAGGGUGCGAGCGUUGUCCGGAAUUAUUGGGCGUAAAGAGCUUGUAGGCGGUUUGUCGCGUCUGCUGUGAAAAUCCGAGGCUCAACCUCGGACUUGCAGUGGGUACGGGCAGACUAGAGUGUGGUAGGGGAGACUGGAAUUCCUGGUGUAGCGGUGGAAUGCGUAGAUAUCCGGAAGAACACCGGAGGCGAAGGCGGCUUGCUGGACCUGGUCUGACGCUGAGGUGCGAAAGCGUGGGGAGCAAACAGG